rnacentral:misc_RNA from 1 species
GAUGAAGAACGUAGUGAAAUGCGAUAAGUAAUGCGAAUUGCAGAAUUUCCGUGAGUCAUCGAAUCUUUGAACGCACAUUGCGCCCACUGGUAUUCCGGUGGGCAUGCCUGUUCGAGCGUCAUUAUCCUCCCUCAAACCUCGGGUUUGGUGUUGGACCCAAGUUGUGUGAACAACUGGUCUCAAAGACAAUGACGGCGUCCGUGGGACCCUCGGUGCAACGAGCUUUUAAACGAGCACGCGUCGAGUUUCAAGGACCUUCCGGGCCGGUCUCCUUCUUUUAUUUACAAAGGUUGACCUCGGAUCAGGUAGGAAUACCCGCUGAACUUAAGCAUAUCAAAAGCGGAGGA